rnacentral:rRNA from 1 species
UACGGAGGGUGCAAGCGUUAUCCGGAUUCACUGGGUUUAAAGGGUGUGUAGGCGGGCUGUUAGGUCAGUGGUGAAAUCUCCGGGCUCAACCCGGAAACUGCCAUUGAUACUAUCAGUCUUGAAUCUUGUUGAGGUAGGCGGAAUAUAUCAUGUAGCGGUGAAAUGCGUAGAUAUGAUAUAGAACACCGAUUGCGAAGGCAGCUUACUAAACAAGCAUUGACGCUGAGGCACGAAAGCGUGGGGAUCAAACAGG